CUAUCCUUCCAAUUCUCUCUCUCAACACAUAACAAUUAACAACAUUGCAUACAUCACAUAUUUUCCUAAUAUAUAUAGUCAUCGCACACACACCUUUUAUUAUUUAACAUAUAUUGUUUUACUUUUAGCAUCCUUACUCGGUGGAGUGAAGAGUGUUUUGUUUCCAAACAGAACACUACAACAAGAAACAUCAAAUCAAGAAAGGGAUUAUGGGUCUUGGAAGAUUGGUAGGAACACUAAAAUCCAAAAUAAAAUCAUUGAAAUUGAAGAAGCCAUAUGAUAAGAUGGAGAAGAGUGAGAGUAUGAGAGUGGAGAUAAAGAGCAGAAAAGCAAGAAAGCUUAUUGAAGAGACUCUCAAAAUUGCUGAUUCACCAAAGACAAAAUCUUUCAACUUCUGAUGCUAGCUAUAUCUACCUUAAUCAUGUUUGAUGUAUGUAGCAAACAUCUUAAGGUUCUUUUCUUUUCUUUGUAAUUUAAUUAAAUUUCAAUAAGAUAAACAAUUAGCUUUUUCUUUUUCUUUUGCUUUUAGUCUUUCCAUCAAGAACAUGCAUCCACCAAGAGCUAGUAACAAACAUAGUCUAUGUUUUUUGCUUCUUCCAUCAAAAAAGUAAAUAAAAAUUGGUCUAUGUUUGGAAUGA